AAUCUAAGCAUUUCUUAACUGAGAGGGGUCUAAAUAUCACUAAAGCAACAGGACAUCUUUAAGGGAAAACAGCUGCAAAACAGCUUUGCAUUCUAGAGUGAAAGCCUUAGUUUUAGCCUAUGGUAUAUUUUGUUCCCUUUUAAGACCACAGUGGUAGUUUUUUUCCAAAGAGAACUAAUAAACAUAUUAAGCUAUAUGGUAAUUUUUCUAACACCCACAUUGGUUUCGGUCAGAAGAAUUUUACUGGAACCUGGAGGUAUCCCAUUCUUCAUAAUAAUAAAAAAGAAAUGUAGUGUAUAAAAGCUCCAGGUUACAUUACUAAGCAACGACAUUUCCGGGAGUGAAUAUACUUCCUGUAUUCCGCAAGCUGCUUCAAGUACAUAUUCGACGGCCAUCUGUGCUUUUCAACAAAACUGCGUUCUUCCACUGAAGUUUUAAGAAAAAGACUGUUAACCGAAUAUGUUUUAUUAUGGAUCAAUUAAGAUAUCAGCUAUUGAUUUCCUCUUUAAUAGAUGAGAUCCAGCUCUGUGAUACAUCUCCUACCAUUCCCACAAGUUUUCCCAAAUAAUUUACUACCAUUUUGGUUAAAUUAGUAUCAGGAUUUAAGUUAUUAUGUGACUUACAAUUAUAUAUAUCUUGUCCACUACUUCGAGUAGUAUUUCAUUAUUUUCCUUUUCUUUUUUUUUUUUUUUUGAGAUGGAGUCUCAUUCUGUCGCCCAGGCUGGAGUGCAGUGGCGCAAUCUCAGCUCACUGCAACCUCCA
rnacentral:lncRNA from 10 species